GAGUUUGAUCCUGGCUCAGAACGAAGGCGGGCGGCGCGCCUAAUACAUGCAAGUCGAACGAGAAUGUGUAGCAAUACACAUGUACAGUGGCGAACGGGUGAGGAUUACAUGGGUAACCUACCCUCGAGUGGGGAAUAACCAGCCGAAAGGUUGGCUAAUACCGCGUACGCUUCCGGGACUGCGGUUCCGGAAGGAAAGCGAUACCGUGGGUAUCGCGCUCUUGGAUGGGCUCAUGCCCUAUCAGCUUGUUGGUGAGGUAACGGCUCACCAAGGCUUCGACGGGUAGCUGAUCUGAGAGGAUGAUCAGCCACACUGGCACUGCGACACGGGCCAGACUCCUACGGGAGGCAGCAGUAAGGAAUAUUGCGCAAUGGGCGAAAGCCUGACGCAGCGACGCCGCGUGGGGGAUGAAGGUCUUCGGAUUGUAAACCCCUUUCGGGAGGGAAGAUGGGAUGGGGUAACCCAUUCGGACGGUACCUCCAGAAGCAGCCACGGCUAACUUCGUGCCAGCAGCCGCGGUAAUACGAAGGUGGCAAGCGUUGUUCGGAUUUACUGGGCGUACAGGGAGCGUAGGCGGUUGGAUAAGCCCUCCGUGAAAUCUCCAGGCUUAACCUGGAAAGUGCAGAGGGGACUGUUCAGCUAGAGGAUGGGAGAGGAGCGCGGAAUUCCCGGUGUAGCGGUGAAAUGCGUAGAGAUCGGGAGGAAGGCCGGUGGCGAAGGCGGCGCUCUGGAACAUUUCUGACGCUGAGGCUCGAAAGCGUGGGGAGCAAACAGGAUUAGAUACCCUGGUAGUCCACGCC
rnacentral:rRNA from 1 species